rnacentral:rRNA from 1 species
CACGUAGGGACCAAGCGUUGUCCGGAUUCAUUGGGCGUAAAGAGCUCGUAGGCGGCCAACUAAGUCGGACGUGAAAUCCCCAGGCUCAACCUGGGAACUGCGUCCGAUACUGGAUGGCUUGAAUUCGGGAGAGGGAUGCAGAAUUCCAGGUGUAGCGGUGAAAUGCGUAGAUAUCUGGAGGAAUACCGGUGGCGAAGGCGGCAUCCUGGACCGACAUUGACGCUGAGGAGCGAAAGCUAGGGGAGCAAACGGG